AUUGGAAGAAAGAAAAAACUAAGAAAAAUGAUAAAAUACAGUGUCAUGAAUGUUCUGGGUAUGGUCAUAUAAGAAUUGAGUGUCCAAAUUUCAAGAAAAAUAAAGGAAAAACAUUGAGUGUCACACUUAGCAAUAGUUCAGAUUCUGAAAGUUCAAACUCAUCUUCUGAUGAUGAAAAAUAUUUUAUGGCUUUCUUUACUAUUAUGAAUGAUUUUCCUGAAAUUACACUAACAAAAUCUAAAAGUAGUUGUGAUUACAGUGAUUCGAAUGUAUCACUUGUUGAUGCUGAUCAAGAACUGAGUUUAUAGAAAGCUUACAAUGAUGUGUGCGAAGAAGUGAUCAAAUUAAAGAAACUCAACAAGAAGUUAUACAAGAAAUUCAUUGAUAUGGAGAGUGAGAAAAAGAAUAUGUCUGAGGCAUUAAAAAUUUAUGAGAUUGAAAUAGCCAGAUUAAGGAAUCAAAAAAUUGUACUAGAAAAUGAAUUAGAAAAGGUUCAAGGAAAAACAGCAACAUAAAAAUUAGAAGAGAUAUUGAGUUUUCAAAAAAAUGAGUAGUGAUAGAACUGGCCUAGGGUACAUGAAUUGAAAAGGGAAAGAAAAAUUGAUCUCAUCAUCCACUGCCACAACAUCCAAAGGUAUUGUUUUUGUUAAAGGAAGUCAAGGUAAAAGUCUUCAAAAUCAUGCUGAACUUAAGCCAGUUUAUUCAAAAAAUCUGCAUGGUAAAUUCGUCCCUACAUGUCAUAAGUGUGGUGUGGUUGGUCAUAUAAGACCACAUUUUUUUAACAUGUAUCAAGUGCAGAAAAUUGAAGGUAAAAGAAAAGGGAAGAGCCUACAGACUCAAGUUGAUGACAUGAGCCAACAAAUCAAUUUCAUAAGUCUCAAGCUUGGAGAACUAGCAGAUAUUUGCCUUCAAAAUAAAGAAAAACACAAGUCAAAACUCAAGACAAAAUGGGUGAGAAAGGAAGAUGCAGUGUGUCUUGUUGCUCACACAGCACUUAGAUCAAUGGAAGUUUGUCUUUGGUACCUGAACAACGCUUGUUCGAGACACAUGUCUGGAGACAAAAUCUUAUUCAAGAAGGUUGAGUCAUCUCAUGGAGGCACCGUGACCUUUGGAGAUGGGAGCAAGUCUGUCAUAGAAGGGAAAUUGAGUAUUGAAAUACCAAGACUACCUAUGUUGCAUGAUGUUUUAUUUGUUAAUGAUUUGAAAGCUAAUUUACUCAACAUUAGUCAGUUUUGUGACAAGAAUUUUUCUGUUUAGUUUUCAAAAGAUGAAUGCAAUGUGUCUGAUCAAGUUGGAGAAUGGAUCUUAAAAUGUACUAGAACCUCAUACAAUUGUUAUGGAAUUUCUCCAAAAUCAUUGGAGAAAUGUCAUAGAGUCACACUUGAUGAAGCUGAAUUAUAGCAUCAACGCCUUGGGUACAUUAAUUUUAAAAAUUUAUCAAAAAUCUCAAAAAGAAAAAUUAUUGAUGGACUGCCCAAGGUAAUUAAGGUUGAGAAAAUAGUGUGUGGAGCAUGCCAAGAAGGAAAGCAAACUAGAGCUCAAUACAAGAAGACUUCUCAUGUUCUUACCUCUUGGCCUCUUGAGCUAUUGCAUAUGGAUUUAAUGGGUCUAACACAAACCGAGAGUUUUGGAGGAAAGAAGUAUAUCAUGGUGAUUGUAGAUGACUUUUCAAGAUUCACAUGCAUAAUGCUCUUGAGAGAAAAAUCUGAAGCUUUUGAUCUUUCCAAAAAGCUGUUCAAGAAACUACAAACAGAGAAGGAAGCCUCUAUCUCUAGAAUACGUAGUGAUCAUGGUCGAGAAUUUGAGAAUACUAAUUUUAUUUCUUUUUGUGAUGAACAGGGAAUACAUAAAGAAUUUUCUGCACCUAUUACUCCACAACAAAAUGGAGUGGUGGAAAGGAAAAACGGAACAAUUCAAGAAAUGGCACGAACUAUGUUGAGCAACAAGAAGAUGGCUUUAUAUUUUUGGGGAGAAGUUAUAAAUACAGCAAAUCAUAUCUUGAAUUAAGUGGUUCUAAGACCCGGGACUAAUCAAAUACCUUAUGGUUUGUGGAAAAAUAAAAGGCCUACGGUAAAGUAUUUCAGAAUUUUUGGUAGCAAGUGUUAUAUCCUCAAAGACCGAGAAAACACUCAUAAAUUUGAAAGCAAAAGUGAUGAAGGAUUGUUUCUUGGUUAUUCCUCCAAUAGUAAGGCUUAUAGAGUUUACAGCUUACGUACAAAAUCUGUUAUGGAAUUAAUUAACGUAGCUGUGGAUGAUUUUUCAGCUGAGACUACCAUGAAGGAGCAUGAAAAUAUGAAGGAGCUGGGGCAGACCAUUGGAGAAGAUCCACAAAUGCAAGAUGAGGAGGAUCACAUAGAGGAGACACCACAAAAUCCACAAGACAAAGAACCUUCUUCAAGAGUUACUCAAAAUCAUCCUAAAGAAAAUAUUUUCGGUGAGCUAGAUGAAGGUAUGAGGCUUAGAAGAAGAGUACUAAAUCAGGUUUCUUUUGUGUGUUAUUUAUCACAGGUUGAACUCAAGAAAGUCGAGGAAGCAUUAAAUGAUGAAAGUUGGGUCAACGCUAUGCAUGAAGAACUCCACCAAUUCACUAGAAAUGAUGUAUGGAAGUUAGUUCUUAGACCAGAAAAUUAUAACAUCAUUGGGACUAAAUGGAUUUUUAAGAACAAGUCCGAUGAGCAUGAUACUAUUGUGAGAAAUAAAGCAAGGCUUGUUGCACAAGGUUACACACAAGUAGAAGGGAUUGAUUUUGAUGAAACAUUUGCUCCUGUGGCCUGACUAGAAUCUGUUGAAGAAAGCACUGUAUGGACUGAAACAAGCACCUCGAGCUUGGUAUGAAAGAGAAAGGGCAAAGCGCAAAAAGAUCACUCCUCCCAUGCCAUCUGAGAACUCCUCAAGUAAGGAUGUACCA